ACAGAUUCACAAUCAAUGACAGAAACCUUGGCCGGAUCGUCACCAUCGCCGAGCCCUUCAACACCGAGCUGCAGCUCUGGGAGAUGGAGAGCUUUUUUGCAAAAUAUCCAAAUGCUGGAGCGGGAGCACAACCCAGACAGCAAGUUUUGGAAACAGUGAAGAACAAUAUUGAGUGGCUAAAACAAAACAGGGAGACCAUCCGAGACUGGUUUGCUAGCUUGCCGAAGGACAGCUAAGGUAUUUCGUCUUGUGACUCUGCUGUGCUGUGGCGCCUGAGGAGGCCUGUUUUACAGACUGCAGAGGGAGCCUUCGAAAUGGGUUCUGCUUGGGCUAAGUACUGUGUUUAUGUCUCGAAAAGCUUUUAAAUUAUUCCUCUUUGUUUUUGAAGGAAGAUACUAAUAGAGUAUUUAAUAUCCUCAGGGAUUUCUGCUAAGUGUACUUCACAGGGAUGUCUUUACAAACGGAAAGGUUUAAUAGUCACAUUAAUGUCUUUAAAUAUCAUUCCUUGUAUCUUAAAUCUGUGAAAAUAGAACAAUUUGGUCCUAGCUUUACAUUUUUAGCGCCAAAGAAACACCACUUAAUCUUCUCUCUUGAUUGAUUUUUAAAGUUUAAAUACCAGUACUUGCGGGACAGAUUGCCAUCUUAAUCUUUAUUUUAUUAUUCAGAAUUACAUAGACCUAAUAUCAUUUUAUUCACAUAUGUCUCACUGCUUUAAAUCCUACCAAAGUAACCUUGGCUUAAGUUUUGUUCAAGGAUUAAAGAAUGAGCCAAAGAAAUGAUUGACUGUUGCCUUUGCUCUUACAAAACCAAUCGGACAAUGCUGUAUUCUUUUUUUAAAAAAAAUAAAUUUAAGUUACUACCUUGAAAAAAUUA